AUUGUGAACAUAGACUCAUGCAGUAAGAAGUCUUCUGCAAUUUGCUCCUCAUCAUGUUUUUGAGAUUCUUUGAGGUAAAUUCGAAUAGCUGCCUCUCAUUCAUUGGCAUUUGAAUAAUAGUCUGUUGUGAAUGUGCCAUAGUUUAUUAGCCAUUCUUCUGGCCAGUUUUAUUUCAGUUGUUGGGUGUGUGUUUUUUCCAGUUUUUAUCAGAUCUUCUCUGAGUAUCCUCACACAUGUCAACAGGCACAUGUGCACAAGUUUUCUGUACUGGUGCCUUUCAAACUGUAGAGUCCAACUUGUUGGGAGGAGAAAUGACUUACUUGAAUGGUGAGUGUUGAAGAGGAUGCCGGGCCUGCUGGAUCUCUUGGGAGCCAGGCUGUGCUCAGAUGUAAGCCUCCUUGGCUUCUCCACAGGAUAACAUCACAGGGAGCACCUCCAGGCUGCAGCCCGGCCAGUGACCAGGGGGCCAAAUUGUUAAAUUCAGAAGAUCAAGCCCAUUUGGUUGUCUAGUCCACAUCAUCCAAUCCAGGUCUUUCCUGUCCUGGGAAGCUCCACAGUGCUGCACUGCAAGAAAGAUGUGUCCUUGGUGGUUCUAAAGGGCCUACUGUACCAGAAGAAGGAAGGAAAGGUGUGAGUGGUAAGAAUGAGGACACACAAACAUACUAAAUCUUUCAAAAUAUUUGCUCAUUGCAGCACUGAAUUGGAGUUAUUUGGAGAUGAGAAAAGUGGUGUCACAAGAGGAUACAAAAUUCGCCCAGGAAAACAAUGCUAAGAAGUGGCAGAAAGGGCAUUCACACACAGAUGUUAUGCUUCCCUGCUGGGCGCAUCCUCCCUCCACUCCACCUCACUGGGCUGCAGGGAGGGCUCCAGCCCUGGUGAAUGUCAAUGAACUUUUAAUGAGGUCUUAAUCAAGGGCUUCAUUACUUGGACUCUUGGGGAGCCUUCAGGAGACAAAAGCUGGUUUUCACACCAAGAGGGCUUGGGAGAGCUCACAGGUUCUGAUCUUUCAAGGACAUCACUGUCAGCUUUUCACCCUUUUGCUCCCACUGCCCCAAGACCUGAGCACAAACAAAAGGAAACCCUCAGAUCUACUUUACAUGAGCUCUGGACUGCCCUUGGCCUUGGUGCUAAUGAAGUAACUUAACAAAUCCCCUCUGAAAAGUUGCAUUGCAUUUGCAUAUGUUUAGUUGUUCCCAGUGUCCCUAUUUCCUAAGACUGAUGUGACCCUCAUAAAACCACAGGAAGCCACAUUCAUCUUCCCUCUUUUCCUCCCCCUUCUUUCUUACCCCAGCUAGACUUGUCCUGCUCCUUGAAGCCUAUCUAAUAACAAAGUUCAGCCCCUGGCAGAUUUUUUAUACAACUGAAAGGCAAAGAUCCAUAUGCCUUUAUUUAGAGCUGCUAACUGAGUUUGAAAAUCCCAGCUUGACCUCAUUUCUUUCUGUACAUUUCCCCUCAAAGACCCAGAGGUGGAUACACUCACAAUUGAUAGAGCUGCUGCUAGAUUAUUGAGCAUUCCCAGUAAGCUCCUGGUUUCAAUCGGUUUACCGAAUGGUGUUGAUCUGUCAUAAGCAUUAUGUCUGGAUACCAAGAUCAGACUCAAGGAAAAUGGUGUAUUUUACACUCAUUUGUAUUGUGGAUGAAAAGGGGACACAUGCUAACCCGCAGCCUUGCAAACUCAGAGACCUAAAGUAACCACAAAGGAUGAUCUGAAAUUAAACCCUUUUAAUUAAAAAGCAGUUUAUAAUGGGUAAUCAUGUCCUAGGCCAGUGCCUUCCCUGACAAAGAUCAACUUUAUCUUUACUGAGCUUAUUGUCUUUUUGCAUCUAAGAUAAUAUACCUGUGGAAUGUCAGGGUAACUGUUACUUCCUUUUUUUCCAGACCCCUCAGGGCGCAACUAAUGGCACCAGAGCUCAGACCACAGAUUCCCUCAUUGUUAUUGUUAUCUGUUAAUUGUUGACUGUUAACUGUCCUACAUCCACCAAUGUAAAAGAAGCAUGUGUCUAUCAUUUUACUUUUUAUCCAAUCUCAGAAGUUUCCUCAUUUUGCUUUCUCCCUCCUCCCUAAUCAAUCACCAAUGGAUUUCAUGUAACCACUUACAUCUCCUCCUUUGAUGGUAAUUUAUAAAAAUAGGUGAAAAAACUCCAUAUUCCGGAGCAUUGUCUCAAUACAUUGAGAGUCUGCUUCCUGGCAAUUGUCGACAGUUUGGCUGAAAUAAACUCACAAAAAUUCUUUAUAGGUUUGAAUGUUUCUUAUGCUAACAGUAUCUGCUACUUUGAACAUGGAGCCCCAAGAGCAGAUUUUAAAAAUUCAAGCGUUGAUUCUGAGUACAUAAUGCUCAACUGGAAUGAGCUAAACAUCCUCCUAUUUCACUCCCUGGAGGAUUUGUGAGCAGUGAUAUGCUAGAAACAUGAAAAUGUUCAUAAGAGAAAGGCCUUUGGAGGGAGCAUGAGGGAGAUUAAGAAUACCUACUUAUUGGAAGGGUAGU